ensembl:lncRNA
GGGCUGGCUCUUCUGGCUGGGAGGUCCUGGUGGGGCCCCAGGGCCAGGGCCUCUGCAGAGGCUGCUGUGCCGGUACCACCUCUGCUGCUCCUCCGGUCUCCUGGGAACCCAUUACCACUUAGAGCUUAGGAAUCCUGGACCUCCAGCAUUGGAUCUGGAAAGCAGGGUUUGUGGUUCCAAGCUCAGUGCAGGUGCAAGCUCCUAGGGUGGAUUUGCAAUCUGCUGGGCUCUCUUUACGGAAUUAUCUGGAGAUGCUGAAUUUAGACAUUGCAAGAAGUCACAGCCUUUCACAGCUGGGAACAAAAAGGAGCAGCUCCGAGGACAUGGAGCACGGCUGCCGCCCCUCUCUGCUCUGCAGUCUCCCCUCCCUGCUUCUCCUCGCCCAGCUGCCCACGUGGGGGUCCUCAGGUGAGUGCAUCCCUAUCCCUCCCCCUGGAGCCUCUAGGAUGAGGUUGGCGGAGGCCCAUGCUCUAGAAAGUUGGUGGUGCUCUCCCAGUCACUGGUUACCAUUAAAAUUUAAGAAGAGUCACUCAGCCAUAAAGUGAGUGUUAGGGAUCCUGACAAUUGUCAAGGAUGUUUUGUGGGUGUUUUAGUGUCAAGUAUCAAUAAUUUGAAAAUACCUCUCCCUUCACGUUUGCCUUCCCUCCUUUUUUGGCAUUCUGAGAAUUUAUUUGCUCAUUUAUUUAUCCCCCCAAUAUUAAUGAAAUAUCAACUGAAUGUUAGGGGCUGUUCUUUGAACACAACAGAUAGACCUACCUGUGUCCAGGCUUUCCUUCCAGCAGCAGAAUUGAAGGAGAUGAGUGAUGGGAAAUGAAGUAGGACAGGAAUGUGGAUCGGGUGUGGGCAGCGGUCAUGUUCAGAGAGGUGGGCAGUGUAGAGAGUGAGAUGGGAACAAGGAUGUGGAGGAAGGGCUAUUCUGUGAGGACCCCCAGGGAAAGACAUUCCACGGGGGCAGCCAGUGCCAAGCUGGCAGUGUGCCCGGUGUGAGGCACCUCAAAGGCAAGCACUGGCUGGAGCAGAGGCAGUUUGGGAAAAGAAGCAAGAGUUGGGGUCAGAUAAUUCCUGGGGUCCACCCUGUUUGGUCUGCGGGACCCUGGGUGAGGGAGCUAGGGAGUGAGGGAUGGGCUCUGGGCAGAGUAGGGAUGUGGUUUAGCUCAGAGAUUAAAAUGAUCACAGUGUGGAAGUGGGGAGAGAACAGACACAGCCUUCGUCUGUUGCCCUCCUCUGGGUGAGACGACGGUGGCUGGAGGGGGUGGUUGGUGGCUGUUCUGAGGCCCGUGGCAACUUGUUCUGCACAAGAGUCCUGCUGCGACCGUGUCAAGGCCUCAGAGGGCCCAGGGUGAGGAGAGGAUAGAGGGUGGCUUGAAUUGUCUUCAAAAUUUAUUUAUUAAUUCAAUAGAGUGAGAGAGAGAGAGAGAGAGAGAAUCUUCCAUCAGCUGGUUCACUCCCUGAAUGGCUGCAAUGGCUGUGGCUGGGUCAGACUCAAAGCAGGAAGCUGGAACUCCAUCUGAAGUCUCCCUUGCAGGUGGUAGGGGGCCAAGUUCUUGGCUGUCUUCUUCUGCUUCCCCAGGAGACUUAGCAAGGAGCUGAAUCAGAAGUGGAGAGCUGGGACUGGAACCAGUGCUCAUAAGCGAUACCUGCAUUUCAGGCAGUGCUUUAACCUGCAGUGCCACAAAGCUGCCCCAUGAACUUGCUGCGUUAGCCAGCAGCAAGUCCAGCUUCUUUGAGCAAUGAGGGCAGGUGUCUAAUAGAAGUAGCCUCUGAGUCUGUUCUAGUGCACCUAGAGUUCAGUGGAGGAUAAAAGGAUGGGCAGAAAAAGUCAGCUUAGCAAUGGAAGUGGGCAGUUUCCUGGGUUGACUGAUCCAGGAAUUCUGAGGGAGGCCCCAGGUGAACUCCUGGAUUAGUUUCCAGGCUGUCCUGACGCUGGCAGGUUAGAACUGUGGUUCUCAUAGUAUAGCUCCUGGAUCAACACUGUUAGCUACCCGAGGACUGCUCUGAAAUGCUUAGAAACUCUUGGGCCUGCCCCAUACCAACUGAAUCUGGAGCUGUGGAGGUAGGGGCCCAGUAAUCUGAGUUUUACAAGGGAAGGGAUUUAAAAGAGAGGCAGGGACAAUAAAGGCAGAUGCCCAGGAGUGAGUGAGGUGAGA